rnacentral:rRNA from 1 species
CAGCACCUCAAGUGGUCAGGAUGAUUAUUGGGCCUAAAGCAUCCGUAGCCGGCGCUGUAAGUUUUCGGUUAAAUCUGUACGCUCAACGUACAGGCUGCCGGGAAUACUGCAGCGCUAGGGAGUGGGAGAGGCAGACGGUACUCGGUAGGAAGGGGUAAAAUCCUUUGAUCUAUUGAUGACCACCUGUGGCGAAGGCGGUCUACCAGAACACGUCCGACGGUGAGGGAUGAAAGCUGGGGGAGCAAACCGGAUUAGAUACCCGAGUAGUCC